UAAAAUCACAAAAAUGUGGUCAUCGCGUGGUAACUCUCGUCGCCUAUCGCUUAAUACACACUCCAUGCUGUUUAGCAGGCCAGAACCAGCCAACUUAACCACACAAUUUGCAAGUUUGGCUUGUGCUGGUCUGUCAUCAUCCUGGUCACCUGGCAUCAGCAACAAUCUCAGUGUCAUCGUUUCUGGAUAAACAGCAUCUUCCUUAAUUGGAGAAAUUCUCCUUUUUUUUAAAUCUCGUUUGUUCUCGUGUACAUCCGUGUGAGUGUGGGUGUAUUCACGAGGACACCUAUCCCGCCUGGUGGAUUCAACUUCUCUGCGGAUGGAUGGAGCGAUUGUGGAUGCCUGGCCGUUAGAUUUCCCAGGCUUUAAAGUAUACCCAACCUCGGUGGCCUAUCGCAUACGCGGUUGCUGUCUGGAAUAAUCCGCAAUGAUCGAUCGUCUCCUGAUCAUCUAAACAGGCUCAUACAUGACCCUGCAUAUUAUAGAAACUGUUGCUGCAUAUAAUGGCCAAAACGGAUAUCCAUUUAUAGAUUUUACGUAUACAAUAGUUUCCUGUAACGGUACCUAGUAAAAAGAACAAAGUCAUCCUGAAACGAUUAAGUAAUAUUUAUAUACAGACUAUUCUAAAUCUAAAGGGCAAUUUUACCCAUCAAAUGAUUGAAUCUGUAAAAAUACUCAACGACCAUUUGUGAUCUUUUUUCCGAUUUUAUUUCCCAUUGUAGACAGAACAAUUUUAUAAUUACGUCCUUUUCUAUAGUUUGUGUACACAAACC